UUUAAAAACAAAACUGUUUUAUAAGUUAAGUUUUCUUUUGUGACCCAUCCCAUGCCCCUGUUAUUUCUUCUCCACAUCUGAACCAUGGUAAAGGUUGCAGUUCAAGGGCCUGAGGCAUGAAAUUCUUUUCAGAUCAGCUGUGAUCAAUAUUUUUUGGAACUUGAUAAAUAACAAUAAAAGCUGUAAUGGCUCCAUUAGCAUUUUGUGUAAAUGUUUGUGUUAAAAUUAUAGCUUUAAUGAGGUCUUACUACAUUAGUUUUAGUUUGUAUAUGUGUACAUAUAGUAUGUAUAUUUACAGUACAGUAUGUUGUGUUUGUUGACAUAUUUUCAGGUGGAAGCAGAAUAUGUGAGGAUUACUACUGCUGCACAUGUUCCAAGGCUUUUUACACAACUUGACCAAUACACUGACCAGCUCAUAAAAGUCUUCAAGAAAAAGGAGGCGUUGCAGGGAAGAAAAUUAGACAAACUUUGGCCCCAGCCACACAGAAGGAAAGUAUUGAAAAGGGGAGGGAGUGUGUCCUCAGGGCACUACCUUUUUACCUGAAUGAAGACCCAAGCAUCCUCUUCAAAGAAUAAUUGCUACAGCUGUUCAGAGGGAGCUGGAACAAAUUACCCUUGCUAUCUUUACCAUCGAAAGAGCUGAUGCCAGCACUCCUCCAGCCGAUGUGGGUAUAACCAUCUAGUGUGCCCUGCAUGACCUGGAAGACCUGGCCUCUGCAUGUGCACUCUUAAUGGGUGGGAUAUAUGCACUGAAUCUCAGUUAACCUCAAGACUGAAAGCUUUCUUUGAAGUACUUCAGAAGCUCUUCCUUCAUCUGUAUGUCAGCAUACUCUUGACCAAGGUACAGUUGCUCAAGAAUACACUGAAUGAAUAAGCCAACCUUUAAUUUGGAUGAUGAAUGUUCUGUCAGAUGGACAGAAGUUUUUCGGAGGCUGAAUGGGAAUAAAAUGGUAAUUUGUAAAUGACAGAUAACGGGAAAAUUACAUUUAAGAGAAAUUUAGAACAUUUUGAAAAGUUUGUAAACUACUACAAUUUGAGAGAUUUUACUGUUGUGGGGGGCUAGUAAGAGACAUUCAAAAGUUUUGAGAUUUAAAGGAUUUAAUUGAGAGAUGAUACUGCACCAGAAAUGUUGAAGGGUGGUGUGUAUAUUAGCGUUCAAGGCAUAUUGUUAUGAGGUGGAAAUAUGUUCAUAUUCAGUUUGUGUUACAUUGUGUGCAUUGUAAAGGUAAUUGCAAUACAUACUAAAAAUAAGGGUAAGUUAGGAGGUUGAUCUGAUAUCCUCGUGUUGGUGUUGUUCCC